rnacentral:tRNA from 1 species
CCGCGCGGGCGGCGGCGGGCCGGGCAUCUUUGGGGUGUCCGGCCCGUUCCGCCCGUUCUAUGGGUACGGUUGCG